GGCAGUGUGGCUUAGUGGAAAGAGCACAGGCUUGGGAGUCAGAGGACGUGGGCUCUAAUCCCCCCUCUGCCA
rnacentral:tRNA from 1 species